rnacentral:rRNA from 1 species
UACGUAGGGGGCAAGCGUUGUCCGGAAUCAUUGGGCGUAAAGCGCGUGUAGGCGGCCACACAGGUCCGCUGUGAAAACUCGAGGCUCAACCUCGAGGUGUCGGCGGAAACCAUCUGGCUAGAGUCCGGAAGAGGAGAGUGGAAUUCCUGGUGUAGCGGUGAAAUGCGCAGAUAUCAGGAAGAACACCGGUGGCGAAGGCGGCCCCCUGGUUGGAUACUGACGCUGAGACGCGAAAGCGUGGGGAGCAAACAGG